rnacentral:lncRNA from 1 species
AUGUUGGACCUUGAAGUUAGGAUUAAUAUGACUCUAUCGUACCUUGCAUCGAAGCUUUUGGAGAUCAGAAGGUAGAUCUUUAGAUAGCCUCGAAUCUAGACCUCGUAGAAGUAGAACGCCUUCUCUCCUCAUCUACAUUAACAAACAAAAUUUUUGAAUAUCAUUAGUUAUUGUCGAUUUGUCAAGUAAGACAAGAUAUUCUACUAGCAACCGGCUAUACACUACAAAAGUUGAUGCUUUUUUGUUCAAUUCAAACAUAGGAAUCAUCACUUCUAAUAAGUACUAUAGAAUCUUGACCGAGUAACCAACCUAAUUAGUGACAUGAUCUAAGCUCCAUCGAUUUGUCACAUGAAACAUAAUUAAACAUAAAAGAACAAAACUUUGCAUACCCUUCUAAGAUA